GACGAACGCUGGCGGCGUGCUUAACACAUGCAAGUCGAGCGGUAAGGCCCUUUCGGGGGUACACGAGCGGCGAACGGGUGAGUAACACGUGGGCGACCUGCCCUCAGCUCUGGGAUAAGCCCGGGAAACUGGGUCUAAUACCGGAUAUGACCUCUCAUCGCAUGGUGGGUGGUGGAAAGUUUUUUCGGCUGAGGAUGGGCCCGCGGCCUAUCAGCUUGUUGGUGGGGUGAUGGCCUACCAAGGCGACGACGGGUAGCCGGCCUAAGAGGGCGACCGGCCACACUGGGACUGAGACACGGCCCAGACUCCUACGGGAGGCAGCAGUGGGGAAUAUUGCGCAAUGGGCGGAAGCCUGACGCAGCGACGCCGCGUGGGGGAUGACGGCCUUCGGGUUGUAAACCUCUUUCGACCUUGACGAAGGCCUUCGGGUUGACGGUAGGGGUAGAAGAAGCACCGGCCAACUACGUGC
rnacentral:rRNA from 1 species